CUAGAGUCAAAAACCGUACCUUUCAAGCCAGGAAUCCGAAGAUAUAUUCCUUGAUGCUGAACGAAGACAACUUGUCGUAAAGGCAAAACCUUUGCGAAGCUUUCUAGCGUUUAACAGAGACAAGAUCCUUCGUAGAUGGCGCCUUCGAUAGUACAAAACCACACUAUCCCUAGGGUAGCAAAACGUACCACAAGGGUGGGAAAUGCAACAGCCAAUCACCGUGCGAGGAAAACAAUAGCUGUCAAAUAGGUUCCCAAAACACGUCUGAAAUCAGCAAGAAACCGGUUCGGGCGGUGUGCAAAUUUCGGUCGCCAUUUCUUACUCACGAUUUAUUACUAUCUCAAAGUUGACUACCUAAAAAUUGGGAAGGGAAACGUAUUUGUAAUCGAAAAUCAAUUGUUCAGAAUUAGAUCCUAGAGUUUUGAUGAGGUACGAUUUUUUUUCGUGAGAGAGCAACGGUGUCCUACGGUCUUUACAAAAGGAUGGAUCUACUGGUCUAAGACCUAACAAUUCGAGGCUUUGGGGCGUGCGUCAUGAUAUAGUGCUCCAGUGUGUCCCAUCCCCCGCCGAUACGUACCAGGAGGUGGUCGUUAAGCAUCUAGGAAAGACAAGAUAGAGCUGUAACUUUCAUGCUGUAUUACAGCAAGUUUCAAAAUUAUAAAGAAAAAAUACUGUUAAUGAUUUUCUAUUAAGGAAUAUAUUUAAUGCAUAAAUUAAAUGAUUUAUCACUUUUUAAUUUUUUUUCUGCAUGUAUUUACAUACACAUGUCUUCUUUCUCAGCAAGUUUUAGUUAUUUAAUAUUUUAUACAUAGAAUAAAUGAGCUAUAAAACGACAAACUUCACUGCUACUGGACUGUAACAGAACACAUAAAUUAUUUGAAAAAAAAAAAUAGAAAAUUGUUUUCAUCAGGGUACAUGUUAUGUGUAUUUUCAAUUGCAUGAAUCAUAUGAAAAAUGCAAUAUAUACGAUAUGUAACGGAGUUCUCAUUAGCAUAGCAUAAUAAAUGGUAUUUUCUGA